AGAGUUUGAUCCUGGCUCAGGACGAACGCUGGCGGCGUGCCUAAUACAUGCAAGUCGAACGAACGGAGGAAGAGCUUGCUCUUCCAAUGUUAGUGGCGGACGGGUGAGUAACACGUGGGCAACCUGCCUGUAAGUUGGGGAUAACUCCGGGAAACCGGGGCUAAUACCGAAUGAUAAAGUGUGGCGCAUGCCACGCUUUUGAAAGAUGGUUUCGGCUAUCGCUUACAGAUGGGCCCGCGGUGCAUUAGCUAGUUGGUAGGGUAAUGGCCUACCAAGGCAACGAUGCAUAGCCGACCUGAGAGGGUGAUCGGCCACACUGGGACUGAGACACGGCCCAGACUCCUACGGGAGGCAGCAGUAGGGAAUCUUCCGCAAUGGACGAAAGUCUGACGGAGCAACGCCGCGUGUAUGAAGAAGGUUUUCGGAUCGUCAAGGACUGUUGUUAGAGAAGCACACGGAUAAGAGUAACGGCUUGUCCCUUGACGGUAUAUAACCAGAAAGCCACGGCUAACUACGGGCCAGCAGCCGCGGCAAUCCGUAGGCGGCAUGCGAUGUACGGAUUUAUCGGGCGUAAAGCGCGCGCAGGCGGGGUUUUAACUCAGAUGUGAAAGCCCCCGGCUUAACCGGGGAGGGUCUUUGGAAACUGGAAGACUUGUGUGCAGAAGAGGAUGGUGGAAUUCCACGUGUGUCGGUGAAAUGCGUAGAUAUGUGGAGGGACACCACUGGUGAAGGCGACUCUCUGGUCUGUAACUGGCGCUGAGGCGCGAAAGCGUGGGGAGCAAACAGGAUUAGAUACCCUGGUAGUCCACGCCGUAAACGAUGAGUGCUAGAUGUAGGGAGCUAUAAGUUCUCUGUAUCGCAGCUAACGCAAUAAGCACUCCGCCUGGGGAGUACGACCGCAAGGUUGAAACUCAAAGGAAUUGACGGCGACCCGCACAAGCGGUGGGCCAUGUGGUUUAAUUCGAAGCAACGCGAAGACCCUUACCAGGACUUAACAUCUGUUGACCACUCUGGAGACAGCGAUUUCACUUCGGGGACAAAGUGACAGGUGGUGCAUGGUUGUCGACAGCUCGUGUCGUGAGAUGUUGGGUUAAGUCCCGCA
rnacentral:rRNA from 1 species